rnacentral:snRNA from 1 species
GCUUGCUUCAGUACACAUAGACUAAAAUUGGAACGAUACAGAGAAGAUUAGCAUGGCCCCUGCACAAGAAUAACACGCAAAUUUAUGAAGUAUUCCAUUUUUUU